AUGUGUAUUCCAAAGAAAGAUGGUGGAAUGGGGUUCCGUCACAUUCAUUGCUUUAAUCUGGCUCUGCUGGUGAAACAAGCAUGGCAUUUGUUGGACGACCCUAAGUCCUUAUGUGCAACAAUACUUAGAGCCAAGUAUUACCCUGAUGGUGAUUUGUUGAGUUCACCCUUGAACAAGAAAUCCUCAUACACUUGGCAAAGUAUUAUGGAGGGGGUCAAAACUCUAAAACUCGGGCACAUAUGGCGAAUUGGAGAUGGACACGAAGUAAACAUUUGGUCGAAUGCUUGGAUUCCUCAAUCACCCUCUAGGCUACCGAUUAUUCCAAGAGGUAAUAAUCUGCUGUCCAAGGUUCAAGACUUGAUUGAUCCUACAACAGGCCAUUGGGACGCGAUGCUGGUGGAGCAAACCUUUUGGCCGGUUGACGUUCAUCGGAUACUAACCAUUCCACUACCAUCCUUUGACAUGCCUAAUUUUGUUGCUUGGCACCCUUCAAAACAUGGCAUCUUUUCAGUCAAACCGACCUAUCUAGAGGUGUGGCGGAGUCACUAUGAACAUAAAGCCCCAAGGAGAAACUCCCUGAGCGCUGCUGCACCCAAUCCAAUUUGGGAAUUUUUGCGGAAACUGCCCUGCCCUACUAAGGUGAGGAUCUUCCUAUUGAGAAUGCUACAUGGCACUCUUCCCUGUCGAGUCGGUCUCGCGGAUAGGCAUCUAAAAAUUAUGACAAAACGCCCGGCGUGUGAAAAUGCUGAAAGUAUGAAGCACAUGUUGUUCUGA
rnacentral:rRNA from 1 species